AGUGAACGCUGGCGGUAGGCCUAACACAUGCAAGUCGAACGGCAGCACAGUAGGAGCUUGCUCUUACGGGUGGCGAGUGGCGGACGGGUGAGGAAUACAUCGGAAUCUACUUUUUCGUGGGGGAUAACGUAGGGAAACUUACGCUAAUACCGCACACGACCUACGGGUGAAAGCAGGGGAUCUUCGGACCUUGCGCGAUUGAAUGAGCCGAUGUCGGAUUAGCUAGUUGGCGGGGUAAAGGCCCACCAAGGCGACGAUCCGUAGCUGGUCUGAGAGGAUGAUCAGCCACACUGGAACUGAGACACGGUCCAGACUCCUACGGGAGGCAGCAGUGGGGAAUAUUGGACAAUGGGCGCAAGCCUGAUCCAGCCAUACCGCGUGGGUGAAGAAGGCCUUCGGGUUGUAAAGCCCUUUUGUUGGGAAAGAAAAGCAGCAGGUUAAUACCCCGCUGUUCUGACGGUACCCAAAGAAUAAGCACCGGCUAACUUCGUG
rnacentral:rRNA from 1 species